CACACUUCGGUAAAACCGUGGAAGGUUUGUUAAUUUUAAAAAUUGCAUCCAAAUGUACAGACAAUCACAGGAUCGCUUGUAAGCAAUCAUAUUGUUUUUUUUUUUUUUUUUUUAUGACUAAAUUAACAAUUUUUAGACUAUUACCAGCAAAAAUGGCAUACCAUUAUGGAAAAACUGUUUUUUAUUUUAUUUUCAAAUAAUGUGUUCCAUCUUAUCAUAUGAUAUUUUGUUAUUUUAUUCGAUUGUUUAUAUUAUUUUUUAUUAUUUAUUAUUUUGUAAAGCGGAUCACUUUCGCCAGUCCUUUGGGCUGAAAAUGUUCUAUAGAAACGGUAAUCCUUUUCUACAAUAGCUACUGCCACAAACGAGACGUGUCAUUGUGUCCUUAAGUAUUUUGUGUUUUUUUUUUUUUUAAUGCCCGUUAUUGUCAUUGUAUAAUUAGAUUGGUGGUCAUCCGAAAACUUUAGAAGAACCCGUCAUAUUAUUCCGUCGUUAUAGAAGAG